UGCCAGCCGCCGCGGUAAUACGGAGGGGGUUAGCGUUGUUCGGAGUUACUGGGCGUAAAGCGCACGUAGGCGGACUGGAAAGUUGGGGGUGAAAUCCCAGGGCUCAACCCUGGAACUGCCUCCAAAACUAUCAGUCUAGAGUUCGAGAGAGGUGAGUGGAAUUCCGAGUGUAGAGGUGAAAUUCGUAGAUAUUCGGAAGAACACCAGUGGCGAAGGCGGCUCACUGGCCCACUCCUGACACUGAGGCGCGAAAGCUAGGGGAGCAAACAGGAUUAGAUA
rnacentral:rRNA from 1 species